CAAACUUCUAUUACAGGUAGACUUCAACCGAGCUUCUUUGUAGCCGGAUUCCAGACGAGCUUCUACAGCGGGACAAGACCCACCGGCCAGAUCGCUACUCCUAGCUCCCACGAUAACCGACCUUCGAUCGAGCUUCUAUAAUAAGCGAUCUCCUCUCAGUCCUCUGCAAGAAGCAAACCUCAAUCGAACUUCCAUAGCGAAUGGAUAUCGGACG
rnacentral:lncRNA from 1 species